rnacentral:SRP_RNA from 1 species
GCCAGGUGUGGUGGCUCACACCUGUAAUCCCAGCACUUUGGGAGGCCGAGGUGGGUGGAUCACCUGAGGUCAGGAGUUUGAGACCAACCUGGCCAACAUGGUGAAACCCCAUCUCUA